GAAACCAUAUCAUUCUUACCUUUGAUGUCCAUGUUUAAUGAAAUUCAAAACAGUUUAAAUUGUAAAAAAAAGAAUAACUAUUAGUCUUAGUGUUCAGCGACUCUAACAGCACCAACUAUCCUCCGGUGGUAUGUUGAGUGUUAUCACUGUCAGACUAAUGGAAACUUGUUGCGACUGCUCGUGUUCAAAUAACGGGUGACAUAAGUGCGUGUAGGAGUUGGCUUUCCAUAUCGACAGGUACAGAACUGACCAUUCCGAUGCUCCGAAUAUGAGGGGAGGGGAGAGAACAAUUACACAUGAAUAAUCAUCUGGGUAAAAGGGUUGGCACGGGAUUUCCCUUACCUUACAGACUUUGCCUGUUGAAGAACCGAGCUGGUGAGAUGUCAAUUAUUCAGGGAAGGAGAUAUUGAGUCAUCCAUCCAUGUGGAAUAAAAAAUAAGAGUUAAAUGGGCUUGGCCUUCACAAUGACUUCACUACAAACAGGAAUA